UGGGGAAUAUUGCACAAUGGAGGGAACUCUGAUGCAGCGACGCCGCGUGAACGAAGAAGGCUUUCGAGUCGUAAAGUUCUUUUAUAUGGGAAGAUAAUGACGGUACCAUAAGAAGAAGCCCCGGCUAACUACGUGCCAGCAGCCGCGGUAAUACGUAGGGGGCUAGCGUUGUCCGGAAUCACUGGGCGUAAAGGGUUCGCAGGCGGAAAUGCAAGUCAGGUGUAAAAGGCAGUAGCUUAACUACUGUAAGCAUUUGAAACUGCAUAUCUUGAGAAGAGUAGAGGUAAGUGGAAUUUUUAGUGUAGCGGUGAAGUGCGUAGAUAUUAAAAAGAAUACCGGUGGCGAAGGCGACUUACUGGGCUCAUUCUGACGCUGAGGAACGAAAGCGUGGGUAGCAAACAGG
rnacentral:rRNA from 1 species